rnacentral:rRNA from 1 species
UACGUAGGGGGCGAGCGUUGUCCGGAUUUAUUGGGCGUAAAGAGCGUGUAGGCGGUUCGGUAAGUCCGCUGUGAAAGUCGAGGGCUCAACCCUCGAAUGCCGGUGGAUACUGUCGGGCUAGAGUGCGGAAGAGGCGAGUGGAAUUCCUGGUGUAGCGGUGAAAUGCGCAGAUAUCAGGAAGAACACCAACGGCGAAGGCAGCUCGCUGGGACGGUACUGACGCUGAGACGCGAAAGCGUGGGGAGCGAACAGG